CUCAGCAAAAAGAGGAGGAUUGGCAGCAGAUGUUAGCUCAGGGUUAAUCUUCCUAAAAAAAAAAAAUUAAAAAACCAAAAAGAAUGUUAACCUUUUUUCUGUAUUCAUUAAAAUAAUCAUAUGAUUUUUCUCCAUUUUAUCUGUUAAUAUGGUUAACUGGUUGAUUUUUUAAUGUUAAACCAACCUUACAUUCCUGGAAUAAACCCAACUUAAUUAAUUAUCCUUUUUAUUUGUAGUUAGAUUUGAUUUGCUAAUAUUUUGUCUAGGAUUUUUUGCAUUUAUGUUCAUGAGAGAGGUAGGUGAACCUGUAAUUUCCCUUUCCUGAAAAGGUCUUAUCAAGUUUCAAUAUCCAGGUCAUUCUAGCCUUGUAAUAUUUGUUGGGAAAUGUCCCCCAUGCCCUUUAAAAAAUUUUCUGGACGAAUUUGUGUAAGUUUAGAAUAAUUUACCAGCAAUGACAUAAGGACCUGAAGAUUUCUCAGAGAGAAGGUUUUAAUCAAAGAUUCAAUUUCUUUAAAAGGUGUAAUACUCUUCAUACCACUAGGCAAGGGAAAAUGUGGAAUAUAACAACCUGAUCAGGUCAGACUUUUAGAAAUUCACUCUGGCCUUACUUCAGAGGUUGGAUUGAAGGCAGCCAACACUGGACAGAGACACCAGUCAGGAAACUGUGACAACAUUUGCUCGUUGACAUCAGUGCUAGCCAGUGGCAAAGACGUGGAGAAGAGGGGAACAGGUGAAAAUAAACAUUUAAAUUUUUUUCCAAAAGAAAUUAUUUAGAAAAGAGGGUAAUAAGACAAGGAUGGUCAAUCUUAAAAGUCUGAAUUAACUGUGUAUUUUUUUUACUUCCAUAACGAGAAUCAGAGAGCUGGCACCAUUUCACAAGGUUCUUGGCCAGCCUGAAAACUAUGACCUUGGAGCAUCAUUUAUUCAAGUUGCUAAUCAAAACACAGGACAUCAAAACUAGUCAUUUUUCACCGUAUGGAAAGUGAUUCCCAAAUAUAAUACAGUAUUAUUAUUAUUAUUCCUUGACUGAGGUGUAGGCGUGGUCAGGGUGGACCUUACACCCGUGAUAUAUCCUUCCCAUCUCCCCGUUCCCUUCUCGAGUUUCUUUUUGACACUUCCCACCCAUCCCCAUCUGGGCCCUGCUCAUGACUUGACAGGACACAGGGGUGAUGGCCAUUGGAAGCAAGUUGAGCUAGGAGGUAUUACCUGGAUGUUCCUCCUAUAAUUAUCCAGGGGAGAAGGAGAAAGAGGAGAACAGGAGACUUCUUGACUAAGUCAAGCUAGGAACAGAGAUAACCGUUAAGCAGAAAGGGCUAAUAAGUGAGUCUAGAGAAAAUAACACAGGGUGUUAAGGAGGACACAGUGGGCAGUGAGGGGUGAGGAAAAGACUUAAGAUUUAAAUCUGCAGUGCUGGACUGCUAUGCAGAGUACCUGUGUGUGUGGG
rnacentral:lncRNA from 1 species